rnacentral:lncRNA from 1 species
AUUAUCCUGUCUGUCUGUCUGUCUGUCUAUCUAUCAUCUAUCUAUCUAUCUAUCUAUCAUCUAUCUAUCUAUCUAUCUAUCUAUCUAUCUAUCUAUCUAUCUAUCUAUCUAUCUAUCUAUCUAUCUAUCUAUCUAUCUAUCAUACUGCCCAAGGAGCUGCUGAUCCAGUUCUACAGAGGAAUUAUUGAGUCUAUCAUCUGCACCUCUAUAACUGUCUGGUUUGGUUCUGCAACCCAACAGGACAGACACAGACUUCAGAGGAUAAUUAGGACUGAAGAAAAAAAAAUUACCACCCACCUGUCUUCAGUCGAGAACCUGUAUUCUGCACGAGUCAAAAAGAGGGCUGUGAAAAUAUUUACAGACCCCUCACAUCCCAGACAUAAGCUGUUUCAACUCCUUCCCUCGAAACAACGUUAUAGAGCACUGCACACCAGAACAACAACAGUUUUUCCCCGAAAGCCACCACUCUGCUAAACAAAUAAUUCCCUCAACACUGUCCAACUAUUUACAAAGUCUGCACUACUAUUACUGUUAAUCUUCUCACCACUCCUUAUCACCCAUCCCCUCCCACUUGCGACUGUAUGACUGUAACUUUGUUGCUUGUAUCCUUAUGAUUUAUUUAUAUUGACUGUUUCCUAGUAUGAUUUGAUUGCUUAUUGUACUCUAUGACUAUCAUUAAGUGUCGUACCUUAUGAUUCUCGACUCUUGACGAAUGUAUCUUUUCUUUUAUGUAUACUGAGAGUAUUUACACCAAGACAAAUUCCUUGUGUGUCCAAACACACUUGGCCAAUAAAGUAUUCUGUUUUAUUCUAUUCUAUUUGGUCAAUGCCUAUGUUUUCCCAAUUCUCAAACUUCAACCUUUCUUUUUCCUGCAGCUGCAAGCCAGCCAGUUUGCACAAGAUUCCAGCCAUGGUUUUUCAACCACAGCUGUAGAAAUAUCAUUCCUGUCAGAGAAUGCUAAUGAUGAUCAGUGUGAGAGAAGAGAAGAAAUUGAGCUGACUGAAACUUCAGCCAAGCAGGAUGAUACAGACGACUCUCAAGCUUAUGUUGUUGCUCCAGCUCUUGGUUUUUCCAGCCUUCCAAGUACCCUCAAUGAUAUUCGCUGUGUACCUGUGCUAGUGAGAAGAAAAGUUAUUGAAUUGGCUGAAAACCAAAGAGCAUGGGCACCUGAAGAUUAUCAGGAGCCACCCUGGAAUGUGAACCAAGCUGACCAGUAUCUCAAAGUCUCUGAAUGUUACAAAGACUCCGUGUCUACUUCUAUUUCUUCUAAUGGAAAUCGUAAUAUUGAAAGCCUGGUAAAAUCCAAGUCUUGUUCUCCAAGGAUUCAUCACAGCAUCAGUUCCAAGCAUUCUAGUACAAAUCAGACCUCAAGAGACUUACGUUGUCAAAGUCCAAAAUCCUACGUCAAGCAAGAAUGUAGCUCAAGAUCUUUUGGCAAGCGAGAGCUGUCCACUGAAAGACAGGACAGAAGUUCAAAAUUAUCCUGUAGGCGAGAACGUAGUUCAGGAUCUUCCCUCAAACAAGAAGUCUCUCCUCAAAGAGAAAAGCAUACAUCAAAAUCUCCUUACAGUCAAAAACAGUCUUCUCAGAAACGGGACCGUAACCCAAAAACCUCUCUCAUGCAAGAACAUAGUGUGAAAUCAACGCACAAGCAAAAGCAUAGUUCAAGUUCUCCAAAAAUGAAAGAAAAUUCAAAAUCUCAGAAGCUGGAUAGGUGGAAAAAGAAAAAGUCAGGAAGAAGUUGUUGCUGCCAUUGUAAUUACCAUUGUCAACAGAGCUGCAGUCCGUCCCGAGAGAGUUUGUGGCACAGAUGUUGCUCUCCUUCUUACUUAACUUGCAAAAUAGAACACCUCAAUGUUUCCAAAGAAAUAGGAAAUGUCUAUGGAAUGCCAUACCACCUUUCUCCAGAGAAGUCCAUUGCGAAUAAAAAGGAAAUAAGAGAGAGCAGACAAGUGGUGGAACCUAAGAUACCGGUAAUUGAAAAGAAAAGAAAAAGAGCAAAAUCAAGGACUGGAAGAAAACCUUUGAAGUCAUCAACCAAAAAGAAGAGGACAAGCUCUCCUUGCCACCUUAAUGCUGAAGAAGAAACUUCAGUCCCAUCCUGGACUCCUAAAGACCGAUCUGCAGCAGUGCUGGCAAGAAAAGAAGAGCUUGAACAGGCCUACCUGCAGGUCCUUCUCAACUUUGGAGCAAUAGCCAUCAUGCUGGUGGAAAAGGAACCCUGCAUGAUAGAAGCAAUGAGCUCAGCACUACGAACUAACCUGAGAAAGAUUGGUAACUACUAUGAAUGCCUGCUAAAGAACUACAUUGACAGCUUAACUGAAGCCAAUUGAGAAGACCUCACAUUGGCAAAUCUACCUACUGUACCUGAAGCCUUUUCUAAGACAGUUAAUGGGAGGAAGCUUUCUGUUCUUCAGGCCCGGGAUAAAUGAUGGCCUUGGAGAAAGCCUCCUUUUGGUCGUAGAGCUGAGAAACCACUUUCUCCUGCAACAGCCGCAAGGCGCAUAAGUGACAGCUAGAAGAUUUGAAAGUAUUAUUGCAAUAUCAAUCCAAGGACUUUGGAAGAGAAAAUUGGGAGGAGGGAGGCACAAAGGAUAAACAGAGGAGUGGGAUGCCUAACGAAUUCUGAAUGGCUUUGGUAACUCAGGUCAGGUGGUAACUGGAAUAGGAGUAGAAUCUACUAAGUUUUAUACUUUGAGUUACAUGGAAGCAUCGCAUGUUCUUGGUAAGGGGGAAGAAGUUCUUAAUUUAGAUUAUUAAAAAUAUUGUUGAGCAGUUUUGAAUGUUGGACUUUGUGCAGAAGCAAGCUGGAGAAGGUCCCUGUUCUGUGUGGUCCAGUAAUACUCAAGAGCAGCCCUGAUGAAAAUAGUAUUUUCUCCUUUCAAAUCUAUGAAGUAAAUUUUUUUUUAAAAGAAUAAAAUCAUUUUGAAACAACUUAUAUCUCA